UACAGAGGGUGCGAGCGUUGUUCGGAAUUAUUGGGCGUAAAGGGCGCGUAGGCGGUUUGCUAAGUCAGUUGUGAAAGCCCGGGGCUCAACCCCGGAGGGUCGGCUGAUACUGGUGGACUAGAGUACGGAAGAGGUAGCUGGAAUUCCCGGUGUAGCGGUGAAAUGCGUAGAUAUCAAGAGGAACACCUGCGGCGAAGGCGGGUUGCUGGGCCGACACUGACGCUGAGGCGCGAAAGCUAGGGGAGCGAACGGG
rnacentral:rRNA from 1 species